CAAAGGUUCCCUCAGAAUGGUUGGAAAUCAUUCAUAGAGUGUAAAGGCAUAAGGGAGCUUGACUGCGAGACCUACAAGUCGAGCAGGGUCGAAAGACGGACUUAGUGAUCCGGUGGUUCCGCAUGGAAGGGCCAUCGCUCAACGGAUAAAAGCUACCCCGGGGAUAACAGGCUUAUCUCCCCCAAGAGUUCACAUCGACGGGGAGGUUUGGCACCUCGAUGUCGGCUCAUCGCAUCCUGGGGCUGUAGUCGGUCCCAAGGGUUGGGCUGUUCGCCCAUUAAAGCGGUACGCGAGCUGGGUUCAGAACGUCGUGAGACAGUUCGGUCCCUAUCCGUCGUGGGCGUAGGAAAUUUGAGAGGAGCUGUCCUUAGUACGAGAGGACCGGGAUGGACAUACCUCUGGUGUACCAGUUGUCGUGCCAACGGCAUAGCUGGGUAGCUAUGUGUGGACGGGAUAAGUGCUGAAAGCAUCUAAGCAUGAAGCCCCCCUCAAGAUGAGAUUUCCCAACUUCGGUUAUAAGAUCCCUCAAAGAUGAUGAGGUUAAUAGGUUCGAGGUGGAAGCAUGGUGACAUGUGGAGCUGACGAAUACUAAUCGAUCGAAGACUUAAUCAA
rnacentral:rRNA from 1 species